AUCGCUUCUCGGCCUUUUGGCUAAGAUCAAGUGUAGUAUCUGUUCUUAUCAGUUUAAUAUCUGAUACGCCCCUGAUGCGGGGGGCGACAUAUUAAAUGCAUUUUUAGAAUAGGGAGCCGAAUAAGGGGCUCGCUCCAUCCGCUCCACGCAUCGACCCGGUAUUGCAGCGCCUCCGGGAACGGUGCCCUCUCC